rnacentral:rRNA from 1 species
GAUGAACGCUGGCGGCAUGCCUAAUACAUGCAAGUCGAACGAGAGGAAGGAAAGCUUGCUUUUCUGAAUCUAGUGGCGAACGGGUGAGUAACACGUAGGUAACCUGCCCAUGUGCCCGGGAUAACUUCUGGAAACGGAUGCUAAAACCGGAUAGGUAGCAGACAAGCAUUUGACUGCUAUUAAAGUGGCUAAGGCCAUGAACAUGGAUGGACCUGCGGUGCAUUAACUAGUUGGUGAGGUAACGGCCCACCAAGGCGACGAUGCAUAGCCGGCCUGAGUGGGCGGACGGCCACAUUGGGACGGAGACACGGCCCAAACUCCUACGGGAGGCAGCAGUAGGGAAUUUUCGUCAAUGGGGGGAACCCUGAACGAGCAAUGCCGCGUGAGUGAGGAAGGUCUUCGGAUCGUAAAGCUCUGUUGUAAGAGAAAAACGACAUUCAUAGGGAAUGAUGAGUGAGUGAUGGUAUCUUACCAGAAAGUCACGGCUAACUACGUGCCAGCCGCCGCAGUAA